rnacentral:lncRNA from 1 species
CAUUUAUAAUUCAUUAGCAAUGAAACUUCAAAAAUUUGAGAUAAGCUAUGAGUUUCAGAUUAUGUAUCGGGGUGCGAGAGGUGCGUGCCAAAUUCUGAAUUUAUAUGUGCCAAAUUCUGAAUUGUGAUAGAAAUUUUUGAUUUGAUGAUUUUCAUUGUUACAAACUGCUCCCCCUUAGAUAUAUAAGCUUUCUUAUAUGAUUUUCAAUUUGUUUGCCCAUUUAUUUCUCUUUUCUUUACAUAACUUCUUUAUUCACUCUUUCUCACAAAGUUAAUACUCUUUCUUUAUUCACUUUCUUUACACACUCUAAACACUAUCUUUACUUCUCCCCUUUUUGUUAUACAUAUCUUUACUUCUCCCAAGAUUAAUAUUCUUUCUUUACUUCUCAAAUAAAAUACUCUUUCUUUUCUUAAAUUAAAUGCUCUUUCUUUUCUUAAAUUGAUAUACUCUUUCUUUUCUUCUCCCCCUUUUUGUUAUCAUCAAAAAUAUAUAUGGGAA